GCCCUGGCCAGGUAGCUCAGUUGGUUAGAGCAUUGUCCUGAUAUGGCAAGGUCUUGGGUUUGAUCCCCAGUCAGGGCA